CCUACGGGAGGCAGCAGUGGGGGAUAUUGCACAAUGGGGGAAACCCUGAUGCAGCGACGCCGCGUGUGGGAAGACGGUCCUCUGGAUUGUAAACCACUGUCCCCAGGGACGAAGAUGACGGUACCUGGGGAGGAAGCUCCGGCUAACUACGUGCCAGCAGCCGCGGUAAUACGUAGGGAGCGAGCGUUGUCCGGACUUACUGGGGGAAAAGGGAGCGUAGGCGGGACUGCAAGUUGGGUGUAAAAUCUACCGGCUCAACCGGUAGCCGCACUCAAAACUGCAGUUCUUGAGUGAAGUAGAGGCAGGCGGAAUUCCUAGUGUAGCGGUGAAAUGCGUAGAUAUUAGGAGGAACACCAGUGGCGAAGGCGGCCUGCUGGGCGUUUACUGACGCUGAGGCUCGAAAGUGUGGGGAGCAAACAGGAUUAGAUACCCGUGUAGUC
rnacentral:rRNA from 1 species